GGGUAUAGCUCAGUGGUAGAGUGUGUGCUUAGCAUGCAGGAGGUCCUGGGUUCAAUCCCCAGUACCUCCA
rnacentral:tRNA from 1 species